GAUGAACGCUGGCGGCGUGCUUAACACAUGCAAGUCGAACGGAAAGGCCCUGCUUUUGUGGGGUGCUCGAGUGGCGAACGGGUGAGUAACACGUGAGUAACCUGCCCUUGACUUUGGGAUAACUUCAGGAAACUGGGGCUAAUACCGGAUAGGAGCUCCUGCUGCAUGGUGGGGGUUGGAGAGUUUCGGCGGUUGGGGAUGGACUCGCGGCUUAUCAGCUUGUUGGUGGGGUAGUGGCUUACCAAGGCUUUGACGGGUAGCCGGCCUGAGAGGGUGACCGGCCACAUUGGGACUGAGAUACGGCCCAGACUCCUACGGGAGGCAGCAGUGGGGAAUAUUGCACAAUGGGCGGAAGCCUGAUGCAGCGACGCCGCGUGCGGGAUGACGGCCUUCGGGUUGUAAACCGCUUUCGCCUGUGACGAAGCGUGAGUGACGGUAAUGGGUAAAGAAGCACCGGCUAACUACGUG
rnacentral:rRNA from 1 species